UCGGGAAUUUUGGGCAAUGGGCGAAAGCCUGACCCAGCAACGCCGCGUGAGGGAUGAAGUAUUUCGGCAUGUAAACCUCGAAAGAAUGGGAAGAAUAAAUGACGGUACCAUUUAUAAGCUCCGGCUAACUACGUGCCAGCAGCCGCGGUAAUACGUAGGGAGCAAGCGUUGUUCGGAUUUACUGGGCGUAAAGGGCACGUAGGCGGCGCGGUAAGUCACUUGUGAAAUCUCUGAGCUUAACUCAGAACGGCCAAGUGAUACUGCUGUGCUAGAGUGCGGAAGAGGCAACCGGAAUUCUUGGUGUAGCGGUGAAAUGCGUAGAUAUCAAGAGGAACACCUGAGGCGAAGGCGGGUUGCUGGGCCGACACUGACGCUGAUGCGCGAAGGCCAGGGGAGCAAACG
rnacentral:rRNA from 1 species